UCCAUCAUAGCUCAAUCGGUAGAGCAUGAGACUAUUAAUCUCAAGGUCAUGGGUUUGAGCCCCACAUUGGGUGAAA